GGCGGACGGGUGAGUAAUGCCUAGGAAUCUGCCUAGUAGUGGGGGAUAACGUCCGGAAACGGGCGCUAAUACCGCAUACGUCCUACGGGAGAAAGUGGGGGAUCUUCGGACCUCACGCUAUUAGAUGAGCCUAGGUCGGAUUAGCUAGUUGGUGAGGUAAUGGCUCACCAAGGCGACGAUCCGUAACUGGGUCUGAGAGGAUAAUCAGUCACACUGGAACUGAGACACGGUCCAGACUCCUACGGGAGGCAGCAGUGGGGAAUAUUGGACAAUGGGCGAAAGCCUGAUCCAGCCAUGCCGCGUGUGUGAAGAAGGUCUUCGGAUUGUAAAGCACUUUAAGUUGGGAGGAAGGGUACUUACCUAAUACGUGAGUAUUUUGACGUUACCGACAGAAUAAGCACCGGCUAACUCUGUGCCAGCAGCCCGCGGCGGUAAUACAGAGGGUGCAAGCG
rnacentral:rRNA from 1 species